GAUGAACGCUGGCGGCGUGCCUAAUACAUGCAAGUCGAGCGAAUGGAUUAAGAGCUUGCUCUUAUGAAGUUAGCGGCGGACGGGUGAGUAACACGUGGGUAACCUGCCCAUAAGACUGGGAUAACUCCGGGAAACCGGGGCUAAUACCGGAUAACAUUUCGAACCGCAUGGUUCGAAAUUGAAAGGCGGCUUCGGCUGUCACUUAUGGAUGGACCCGCGUCGCAUUAGCUAGUUGGGGAGGUAACGGCUCACCAAGGCAACGAUGCGUAGCCGACCUGAGAGGGUGAUCGGCCACACUGGGACUGAGACACGGCCCAGACUCCUACGGGAGGCAGCAGUAGGGAAUCUUCCGCAAUGAACGAAAGUCUGACGGAGCAACGCCGCGUGAGUGAUGAAGGCUUUCGGGUCGUAAAACUCUGUUGUUAGGGAAGAACAAGUGCUAGUUGAAUAAGCUGGCACCUUGACGGUACCUAACCAGAAAGCCACGGCUAACUACGUGCCAGCCGCCGCGGUAA
rnacentral:rRNA from 1 species